GUGAGGAAUAUUGGUCAAUGGGCGGGAGCCUGAACCAGCCAAGUCGCGUGAAGGAAGAAGGAUCUAUGGUUCGUAAACUUCUUUUGCAGGGGAAUAAAGUGCAGGACGUGUCCUGUUUUGUAUGUACCCUGAGAAUAAGGAUCGGCUAACUCCGUGCCAGCAGCCGCGGUAAUACGGAGGAUCCGAGCGUUAUCCGGAUUUAUUGGGUUUAAAGGGUGCGUAGGUUGUUUGAUAAGUCAGCGGUGAAAGUUUGCAGCUUAACUGUAAAAAUGCCGUUGAAACUGUCGGACUUGAGUGUAAAUGAGGUAGGCGGAAUGCGUGGUGUAGCGGUGAAAUGCAUAGAUAUCACGCAGAACUCCGAUUGCGAAGGCAGCUUACUAAGCUACAACUGACACUGAAGCACGAAAGCGUGGGGAUCAAACAGGAUUAGAAACCCCAGUAGUCC
rnacentral:rRNA from 1 species